rnacentral:rRNA from 1 species
GUGAGGAAUUUUGCGCAAUGGGGGCAACCCUGACGCAGCGACGCCGCGUGGAGGACGAAGUCUUUCGGGAUGUAAACUCCUGUCAGUGGGGACGAUAAUGACGGUACCCACAGAGGAAGCACCGGCUAACUCCGUGCCAGCAGCCGCGGUAAGACGGAGGGUGCAAGCGUUGUUCGGAAUUACUGGGCGUAAAGCGUAUGUAGGCGGCAAGUUAAGUUCAAUGUUAAAGCACACGGCUCAACCGAGGAGAUGCAUUGAAUACUGGCUAGCUAGAGGGUGUUAGAAGAAGACGGAAUUCCCAGUGUAGCGGUGAAAUGCGUAGAUAUUGGGAGGAACAUCGGUAGCGAAAGCGGUCUUCUGGGACAUACCUGACGCUGAGGUACGAAAGCGUGGGGAGCAAACGGGAUUAGAUACCCGGGUAGUCC